rnacentral:rRNA from 1 species
AUUGAACGCUGGCGGCAGGCCUAACACAUGCAAGUCGAGCGGAUGACGGGAGCUUGCUCCUUGAUUCAGCGGCGGACGGGUGAGUAAUGCCUAGGAAUCUGCCUGGUAGUGGGGGACAACGUUUCGAAAGGAACGCUAAUACCGCAUACGUCCUACGGGAGAAAGCAGGGGACCUUCGGGCCUUGCGCUAUCAGAUGAGCCUAGGUCGGAUUAGCUAGUUGGUGAGGUAAUGGCUAACCUAGGCGACGAUCCGUAACUGGUCUGAGAGGAUGAUCAGUCACACUGGAACUGAGACACGGUCCAGACUCCUACGGGAGGCAGCAGUGGGGAAUAUUGGACAAUGGGCGAAAGCCUGAUCCAGCCAUGCCGCGUGUGUGAAGAAGGUCUUCGGAUUGUAAAGCACUUUAAGUUGGGAGGAAGGGCAGUAAGUUAAUACCUUGCUGUUUUGACGUUACCGACAGAAUAAGCACCGGCUAACUCUGUGCCAGCAGCCGCCGUAACAC